UAGGGAAUCUUCCACAAUGGGCGAAAGCCUGAUGGAGCAACGCCGCGUGUGUGAUGAAGGGUUUCGGCUCGUAAAACACUGUUGUAAGAGAAGAAUGACAUUGAGAGUAACUGUUCAAUGUGUGACGGAAUCUUACCAGAAAGGAACGGCUAAAUACGUGCCAG
rnacentral:rRNA from 1 species